rnacentral:lncRNA from 1 species
UGUUUUUUCCCUUCAUUAUCAAUUUAGUUGGUUUGUUGUGAAUCUUGUCAAGAUCUAUCCUUCUUAUUAAAUUUUUGUCCUCAAUUUCCUACUGAAAUGCUGCCAAAAUUUUGUGUGAAUUCUUGCUUGUUUCUCAUAUCAUUCUUCAUCUCUUUGCAACCUUCAAGGAUCGUUGCUUUCACUCAUUUGUCAAGAAGCAACUAAGAUUUACCGACGCUCCUG